rnacentral:rRNA from 1 species
CUCCAACCCCUGUGACAUACCACUUGUUGCCUCGGCGGAUCAGCCCGCUCCCGGUAAAACGGGACGGCCCGCCAGAGGACCCCUAAAACUCUGUUUCUAUAUGUAACUUCUGAGUAAAACCAUAAAUAAAUCAAAACUUUCAACAACGGAUCUCUUGGUUCUGGCAUCGAUGAAGAACGCAGCAAAAUGCGAUAAGUAAUGUGAAUUGCAGAAUUCAGUGAAUCAUCGAAUCUUUGAACGCACAUUGCGCCCGCCAGUAUUCUGGCGGGCAUGCCUGUUCGAGCGUCAUUUCAACCCUCAAGCACAGCUUGGUGUUGGGACUCGCGUUAAUUCGCGUUCCUCAAAUUGAUUGGCGGUCACGUCGAGCUUCCAUAGCGUAGUAGUAAAACCCUCGUUACUGGUAAUCGUCGCGGCCACGCCGUUAAACCCCAACUUCUGAAUGUUGACCUCGGAUCAGGUAGGAAUACCCGCUGAACUUAAGCAUAUCAAUAAGCGGAGGA